rnacentral:rRNA from 1 species
AGAUGACGAGUGGCGGACGGGUGAGUAAUGCUUGGGAACUUGCCUUUGCGAGGGGGAUAACAGUUGGAAACGACUGCUAAUACCGCAUAAUGUCUUCGGACCAAACGGGGCUUCGGCUCCGGCGCAAAGAGAGGCCCAAGUGAGAUUAGCUAGUUGGUAAGGUAACGGCUUACCAAGGCGACGAUCUCUAGCUGUUCUGAGAGGAAGAUCAGCCACACUGGGACUGAGACACGGCCCAGACUCCUACGGGAGGCAGCAGUGGGGAAUAUUGCACAAUGGGGGAAACCCUGAUGCAGCCAUGCCGCGUGUGUGAAGAAGGCCUUCGGGUUGUAAAGCACUUUCAGUUGUGAGGAAAAGUUAGUAGUUAAUACCUGCUAGCCGUGACGUUAACAACAGAAGAAGCACCGGCUAACUCCGUGCCAGCAGCCGCGGUAAUACGGAGGGUGCGAGCGUUAAUCGGAAUUACUGGGCGUAAAGCGCACGCAGGCGGUUUGUUAAGCUAGAUGUGAAAGCCCCGGGCUCAACCUGGGAUGGUCAUUUAGAACUGGCAGACUAGAGUCUUGGAGAGGGGAGUGGAAUUCCAGGUGUAGCGGUGAAAUGCGUAGAUAUCUGGAGGAACAUCAGUGGCGAAGGCGACUCCCUGGCCAAAGACUGACGCUCAUGUGCGAAAGUGUGGGUAGCGAACAGGAUUAGAUACCCUGGUAGUCCACACCGUAAACGCUGUCUACUAGCUGUGUGUGCCUUU